rnacentral:rRNA from 1 species
UACGGAGGGGGCUAGCGUUGUUCGGAAUUACUGGGCGUAAAGCGCACGUAGGCGGCUUUGUAAGUUAGAGGUGAAAGCCCGGGGCUCAACUCCGGAAUUGCCUUUAAGACUGCAUCGCUAGAAUUGUGGAGAGGUAAGUGGAAUUCCGAGUGUAGAGGUGAAAUUCGUAGAUAUUAGGAAGAACACCAGUGGCGAAGGCGGCCAACUGGCCCGAUACUGACGCUCAUGUGCGAAAGCGUGGGGAGCAAACAGG